GACGAACGCUGGCGGCGUGCUUAACACAUGCAAGUCGAACGGAAAGGCCCUGCUUUUGUGGGGUGCUCGAGUGGCGAACGGGUGAGUAACACGUGAGUAACCUGCCCUUGACUUUGGGAUAACUUCAGGAAACUGGGGCUAAUACCGGAUAGGAGCUCCUGCUGCAUGGUGGGGGUUGGAAAGUUUCGGCGGUUGGGGAUGGACUCGCGGCUUAUCAGCUUGUUGGUGGGGUAGUGGCUUACCAAGGCUUUGACGGGUAGCCGGCCUGAGAGGGUGACCGGCCACAUUGGGACUGAGAUACGGCCCAGACUCCUACGGGAGGCAGCAGUGGGGAAUAUUGCACAAUGGGCGGAAGCCUGAUGCAGCAACGCCGCGUGCGGGAUGACGGCCUUCGGGUUGUAAACCGCUUUCGCCUGUGACGAAGCGUGAGUGACGGUAACGGGUAAAGAUGCACCGGCUAACUACGUG
rnacentral:rRNA from 1 species